rnacentral:rRNA from 1 species
GCGUGAGGGAUGAAGCAUUAAGGUGUGUAAACCUCUGUUAGAAGGGACGAAUGAUGUGAUUUCGAAUAGGGAUCAGAUUUGACGGUACCUUCAGAGAAAGCCCCGGCUAACUCCGUGCCAGCAGCCGCGGUAAUACGGGGGGGGCAAGCGUUGUCCGGAAUCAUUGGGCGUAAAGGGCAAGUAGGCGGAUUAAUAAGUCGGAAGUGAAAGUUCAGUGCUUAACAUUGAAAUUGCUUUUGAAACUGUUGAUCUUGAGUGUGAGAGAGGAAAGUGGAAUUCCCGGUGUAGCGGUGAAAUGCGU